CGCCCUUUAAUUUAUUUUUAAUUUCAAUUUAGCCUUAUUGGAACGGCGCCGUUUUGGAGGAGAAGGGAAAAUUUCCCUUCCAGCCCCUCUAUGUAAUUCACGUGUUCGAUUUAGUCCUUUUGGCUCUAUUUAUUUACGGAUUUACCCCAAAAUUUUGAAUUCCAGUUAAAUUUAGUUUUAUUAUUAUUAUUUUAUUAUUAAUUAAUUCUAGUAAUGUGAUUAUUAUUUUUUCAUUUAUUUAUUUUUUUCCUUUUUUUCCUAACAAAUAUUCUUUUAUAUAAAAACAUGUGUAUAUCUACGUUUUUUUUUGUAUUUUCGAAAAUGCUUAAAUACCUAUUUAUUUUAACA
rnacentral:lncRNA from 1 species